AGUGUUCACAGUGGACCUUGAUUUAAAAUCAGUCAAUUAAGGCACGCGGUGAAUGCCAA
rnacentral:pre_miRNA from 1 species